UCCAUCUUUUCAUCAGUGACCUUAAUGUACUUGUACAAAAGAUCAUCAAGACUUGGAAGAGCUUGUUGAGGUUUUGGCUGGUAAUGAGGUGCUUGCUGAUAAGGUCUAAAAUUUGAUUGUCCUCGAUUUUGAUGUUAGUAUCCGGGUGGAACCUGUACUUGUUGUUUCUGGAAGCUUUGAGAAAUCUCAGCACCAUUUGGGUUGUUCUAUUGAAAUCCAGGAUGUUUCUGUGCCAUUGGACUUCUAAAAGGAUAUUGUUUGUACCCGAUGGCAUUGAUUUGUUCAUCAUUUUGAUUGAUUGCUUGGCAUUCAUAAUUUAGAUGAUUCCCUCCACACAUGUCACAAGUCUCAGUCUGACUGGAUUGUUGAGUAUUCACCUGAAAAGAUACAACCUUUUGUACCAAUGAAACAAUCUGUUGCAUUAAUGUAUUUAAAGCAUCUAGCUGAUUUGCCGUGGCAGCCUUUUUGAUGAUUACAUGCUCAGAUGGCCAUUUGAUGGCAUUCUCAGAAAUUUCAUUCAGUAACUGCAAUGCUUCUUCUGUGGUCUUUCCCAUUAAGGAACCUACUGGGCUGCAUCUAUCA
rnacentral:lncRNA from 1 species